rfam:Schistosoma curassoni strain Dakar, Senegal genome assembly, scaffold: SCTD_scaffold0004988
AUCCAGUUGACGAGUCUCAAAUAGGACGAAACGUGCGUCCUGGAU